AUUGAACGCUGGCGGCAGGCCUAACACAUGCAAGUCGAGCGGAUGAAGGGGGCUUGCUCCUGGAUUCAGCGGCGGACGGGUGAGUAAUGCCUAGGAAUCUGCCUGGUAGUGGGGGAUAACGUCCGGAAACGGGCGCUAAUACCGCAUACGUCCUGAGGGAGAAAGUGGGGGAUCUUCGGACCUCACGCUAUCAGAUGAGCCUAGGUCGGAUUAGCUAGUUGGUGGGGUAAAGGCCUACCAAGGCGACGAUCCGUAACUGGUCUGAGAGGAUGAUCAGUCACACUGGAACUGAGACACGGUCCAGACUCCUACGGGAGGCAGCAGUGGGGAAUAUUGGACAAUGGGCGAAAGCCUGAUCCAGCCAUGCCGCGUGUGUGAAGAAGGUCUUCGGAUUGUAAAGCACUUUAAGUUGGGAGGAAGGGCAGUAAGUUAAUACCUUGCUGUUUUGACGUUACCAACAGAAUAAGCACCGGCUAACUUCGU
rnacentral:rRNA from 1 species